AAAGGGAAAUGAUGAAUAAAACCAUUAAAAAAUAUCUCAGGGAUCUGAAUUUUACCAGACUAUAAUUUGCAAAACCUUGAUAUUCCCUUU